UGUUAGUUGUGGCACAUGGGCUCCUAGCUGCGGCAUGCAUGCGGGAUCUAGUUCCCUGACCAGGGAUGGACCCCGGGGCUCCCUGCACUGGGAGUGUGGAGUCUUAUCCAGUACGCUGCCAGGGAAGUCCCUCAAGAGGCACAUCUUGAAGACUUACUAUGAGCAUAGCCCUGAUAUGUCACCAAAGGUGUUUUUCCCCUGCCUAUAAUCUGGUAUUGAGUACAAGGUAGCUGCACUUUCUCAUUGUGGUUGUCGUGGGCUGAACUGUGUCCCCCACAAAACUCCUGUGUUGAAGUCUUAACCCUUAGUACCUCAGAAUGUGACCUUAUUCAAGAAUAAGGUAAUUGCAGAUGUCUUUAGUUGAGAUGAGGUCAAUAGGGUGGACUCUAUCCAAUCUGACUGGUGUCCUUAUAAAAAGGGGAAAUUUGGGCCCACGGAGAGAGCCACAUAUACACAGGAAGAACACCAUGUGAAGAUAAAGGCAGAGAUUGGAGUGCUGCUUCUACAAGCCAAGGAAAGCCAAAGAUUGCCAGCAAACCAUCAGAAGCUAGGAGUAAGGCAUGGAAUAGAUUCUUCUUCACAGCCUUCAGAGGGAAUCAAUGCUAUUGAUACCUUUAGACUUGUAGCCUCCAGAACUGUGAGACAAUACAUUUCUGUAAUUGGCCACCCAGUUUGUGGUAAUUUGUGGUAGGCUGUUAUGGCAGCCCUAACCAACCAAUGCAGUGGCAAAAUGAACACGCCAUAAAAUUUGCUGUAUUAACCAUUUUAAAAGUGUGCAGUUCAGUGAAUUAAGGGUAUUCACAUUAUUGGGCCGCCAUUUUUUAUUUUUUAUUUUUAGCUAGGGAAAAACCCAAGACUGUGGGAAAGUUGGAAGCCCAAGUUCCAUAUCUGCUUCUGCUUAGCUGAGUGAGCUGUUUCAUCAUGUAUGCAGUGAAGAGACAGGCAGAUGACUUCCUGCUCUGAUGCUAUCAUUGCCCGUGUGGAGAAAUUAUAAUAGUAAUAAUAGCUCACAGCUUAUUGAGCAAUUACUGUGUUCCAGGACCAUGCUAAGGGCUUUACAAGGAUUAUCUCUCUUAAUAAUCACAGUAACUUUAUCAGGGAGGUAUCAUUAGUCCCAUUUUACAGAUGGGGAAAUUGAGCCUCAAAAAGAUUAAGUGCUUGAUUUUGGCAGCCCUGGGAUUUGAAUGAAGCUCAUAACCACUGUGCCUACUGCCUUCUAGCUCUUUUGGCUGCACUAGCCUAGGAGGAAAUUAAAAGCAUAAGGUCCUGAUCAGAUUGAAACAUAGUUUAUGUUUACGCCAAAUCAGCCAACUGCCCUAGAGCCCCCAUUGCACACGCUGUCACACACCAACCCAGCUCUCUCAUGUCCCUGUGUUCUUGGCGAGGGACUCUGAAGAGUCCAAGAAUUCUAAGUUCAAACUUGACUUUCCAGGUCAUUCUGAAGGUUUAUAUAUGGAGGUAGGAAAAUAAAACAUUUUAUUUGACAGCUUCUUAGCUUGACUUGUACAUUUUGGAUAGCUAGACAUGUGGUACAUAGGUUUCCAUUUGUGCUCUUUCCAGUGCCCGAAGGAUAGAGGCAGCCCCGUUACCAUGGUUCCCCUGAGCCAACAGAUCUCCAGUGGCCUCCCAGUGGCAGCCGGAGCUUGAGACUCUUUCAGAGUCAAAGGGAGAAGCCAUAACCUCUGAGCAUGGACCAGGCCAGGAUCUGCUGUCCAGCAGUUUCACCUGUUUCCAUCAAGGGGCAGGAAGGUCCGUUGCUACAGCAUGGGGCGAAGCCCAGCUCACCCACAGGGCCUGACUUGAUGCUCCACCCACUACAGAGCCUGCUUCUCCGUAACACACACCCGCCUGCUCAGCCCAGCACCCUGCCGCUGUGACCACAUUGAUGGGCUUCGAAAGCACGAUGGUUACCUGUUCCCCGUGCUCCUCACGGCAGGCCAGGCAGUCGUUAAACCCAUUUCACCAGCGAGGACAUGAGAAGUGGACAGGUGAUGUGCCUCACUCAAGGUCACGUGGCCAGGAAGGUGUGAACGUAAGGUGAGGCCAGCAGCCGGACGUGGGAAAGGAAAACCAAUGGCCAGAUUCCAGAGAAGACACACAGAGCUCAUCAUCACCACCAUCAGAGCUCCCACUGACUGAGCACUUCCUGGUUGCCUGUGCUCUCGCCCAACCCCCUGAGCCUAUGGGAAAAGGCCUAUAAGAGUACGAGGUUAAUGAAUGCCCAAGGCUGGACUUGACUGUACUGAAGAUGGAGUGCAAGCUGCCCAGAGGCAAGGUAAUGGCCUCGGUGACCCUUGGUUCUCUCUUCCUGCAUGAAGGUCUGUGAGACCCACAGUUCGGCUGUGGCUGGCUGCUCAUCUUGGUCCCCCACCCUGUCCUGGGUGAGUCUCGGCUUGGAAGCCUUAAACUGCGUGCUAAGCACCUUCUCCACUCAUUUCUACCUAAAUUUGCCCAGCCCUGUGCCCUGCCCCUGCAGUGCUAUGGCCACUUCAAUACAGUACAUUGGGUUUCCUUGUCCCUUCUAACAGAACCCUACUCAUAGAGCUCCUUCUCCAGGAAGCCUUCUCUGAUCAGUGUUGUUCACUCUACACUGUUAGCAUUUGUGAAGGGUUUGGGCCCUAACUGUCCCUCUACUUUGACACUUCCCCCCCAUCCUAAGGUAGAACUGGGGCCGCAGACUGUGACCUGUCUGGUCCCUGGAAAAGUGGGCUCUGCCGGAUGGGGGUAGCAAGAUACAGUUGCCGUGACAACUAAAAGCACCCCCGUGAGCCUUUUCAUUGGCCACUGAGGUUGAGAUACCGCCUCUGCCGUCGGAAGGCACCAACCCGAGGCAGACUGGGUGAGACCCCACUGGGGCAUUAGAGGGGGUGACAGGUUUCGCUUCCCAUCCGGCAGGAAGACCCACGGGCACAUGGUCCCACUUCUCAUGGACGUCCUGGCUACAGUGGAGCUGUGUCCAGGAGACGGUCGUGGGUGGAGGUGCGGAGCAUCUCGCUGGCCUUUUCCUCUGGCGGGGCUGGCUAGACUUGGAGCUGGGUGAAUGGACUGGGGAGGAAACAGUUUUUCUUACCAGCAGUUCAGGCCCAGGAGGUCUGGCUCCUUGGGGGUGCGGCUGGGAGGUCCCCAAGGUCUGCCAGGUGGAGGCGGAGAGUGGGGGGAGGCUGAGGAGGAAAAGUAUUAGGGAAGGGGGUGGGGAGGAUCUCACUAGUAAAAGAGGCAGAAGUUACUGGAGGUAAAGGUCUGGGCUUAGAGUCACAAAAGACCCGGGUUCGAGUCCUCUCUGUCCUCGCCAGCACACAGGUGCCUCCCUCUCUCUGUUUGGGGGGAGGGUUUGAACACUCAUGACUUUGUGCCGAUCCUUGUGCUGAACACCCUGGGACUUUUCCCACCGUUAUGCCCUCAAAACGACCCUGAAAUAGGUGGGUGCCAUUUUACAGGUGAGGAAACUGAGGCUCAAGGAGGCUACGUGGGAAAAGACCAAGGUGAGCUCAAUUCCCAGGCGUGAGAAUGAUCAGGCCGGUUGGCGGUUAUCUGGAGGGAAGUAGGAGGUGCCGUUCCCACCCCCACCCCCAGGCAUCCUAGCCUGUCCGGAAGGAAGGGUAGUGCCAAGCCUUGAGGCUUGCGUGGUUUCCUCUAGCAAAACUGCCUCAGGCUCUCUCUGGGGGGUAAACCGCCUGGAGCCUUCUCCAGAAAGUUCCCUGUGCAGGAGACGACGGGUUAAAGAUAGAGCCGCCCUCAGGGAGGAAGGGAGAGGGUGUUUAUAACGCCUUUUUGACCUUUCAAAACUGCCUAGAAUUGCUAACGGAAGCCCUCAUUUAACAACUACAGAUCCACUUAAUUUAGCCUAGUUGGGAUUGAGACCUGCCCCACCAUGGGACCACACUGAUGUGAUCCAAGGGAGGGACUGAGCCAGUAGAGUGGGUGCUGGAUUUAGCAUUGGAUUGGACAUAAUCUCUGAGCCUCACAUCUUUCACCUGUAAAAUGGGCUUGAUUAGAUCGUGAGGACUAGGAAAAUUAAUCAUGACACCCACUAGAGUCUUUCUUGGUGGCACCUGUGAUCUGCAUGGACAAGGCAGUCCUCCCUGCAGUGUGCCCCCCACACCACCACCACCCCCAGAGAUUCCUGGGACCCCUCAGAGUUACAGGAAGAGGCUUUUUCCCAGAUGCCCUUGCAGUUCACCUCCUGGGGCCGGAUUCAUUAACAAACACAGAGCACCUAAAAGUUGAUGUUUUUUGAAUGUCUGACAUAUGUCAAGCUCUAUGUGAAGUGUUGGACCCUGUCCAAUUCUUUUAAUCAUCCUAGAACAACCCUUCCUUUCUCCUGAAAAAUGCUAUUAUCAUCAU